UCUCUCUCUCUCCCUCUCCCUCUCUGUGUUCUUUUUAAUUCCAUCUCAAUUUGUGAAUGGGAACAUGAAAUCCAAAUUCCAAAUGGAUUUGAAAUUUUAUAGAUUUUGAUUAGAGUGGAAGUCAAGGACUUUAAUCAAAGAUUUGUUAUGUGGUUAUCAUGAUGCUGAUGAUGCUGAUGAUGCUCUGGAUUAAAAUCCCAGUAUAGUUUGCUCUGUCGGAGUCUCUCUCUGUCGGAAUUUAAGUGGUUUUGUAGUGUAUAUAUGUAUGUAUACUGCGUUUUGAUUCUAGGUUCACUUUGUCAGAAUGGAUCGAUUCGAGUUUUGACUUUUUGGUAGAAACUCAAGAAGCUGUGAUUAACAAUGUUGCCAAUUUAUGUGAGGCUGCUGAAGCAUUGUGCAAUUUUCUGGAAGAGCUGGCAAAGCAGUUUCUAUUGAAUCUUCCAGUUUGGGAUUCGUCACCUCGUGAGCUCAUAAACUCUCUGUGUGAUGAAUGAUCAGGUACUUUGGAAGAAUAGAGAUUGUACACUCAGGUUGGUUUGAUCUAACUAUUUGCAUGUUCACUGAAUGAGGCCUCCUUUGUGGUUCUCUAAAUUACUUGUCCAAAACAAGUUGCGGAUUUUAAAUGCUCAGUAUCCAGAUAAAUAUAUGUGCUGGUCGCGAAAGAGUCGUCCAGUUUGUACAGUCUAAGCUUAUAGAGAGUAAUGAGGUUGUAUUGUUUUGGUAGGAUAUUAUGGGGCUUAGAACUUUAUGACAUAUUAAAAUUAUGUAAUAAACUGGAUACUCAGACUUUCAAAACUUUCAUUGCUUUUUAGAGGAUAUAUGGGAUGUUUGCUAGCUCUCUUUCAUCUAACAUUUAGGAUCUUCAGUUCUGCAUCACUGGCAAUGAUGCCAUCUGCAGAGGAGAUCUGGCUCUGACUUUCUUAUAUAAUCAUGUAUUUACUACUUACUCAAUUUGCAUGUGUAUGGCUGUCACAAGACCCUAGCAGAACUAACUUAUAUUUGCGGUCGAAGCUCUUGGUGAUGCUAUAUGUCAAGCAGUGGGUCUUGGUUUGAUCAAGUCUCGCAAUGAAGUGUUAUCACCUCUAAGGUAUGGUGCACGUUCUUUAGUAUCAUGUUCAUAUGAUUAACACUUUGUAUUCUUCUAGAAUAUUAAAGAACAAGACACAGUAUAUAAGGCCUGUUAACUACCUUUAAACAUUUUGAUUAAUGUAUUCACCUCUAGAGCUCUGUUAAUGUAAAUUGAUUUGUUACCUUUCGCUCGUACCAUUAUAAUUUGGGAUAAGGAAAUAAAAUGGCACAGUUAUUAUGUCUGUGAACGAUGUAAUGUCAGGAAAACUGAUUGUGCUACAAGUCUGGUUGAUUUUAUAUUUCAUGUUUUGUGCUCUCCCUCAAUGUGUGUCUGUUAGUCAGUAUCUUAGAUCUAAUUUGGCUUCCAAUUAUAAGAUUCUACUAUGGAAAAUCGACUCUAACAUUUUCUUUUUGCUCUCUGAUGAGUUUGGUGGGGUGUAAUUAUUUAAACAACAAUAAUAUUUCAGAAAAUUUGCAUGUUUUUGGCUUAAGACUGAGC